rnacentral:lncRNA from 1 species
GCUCCCAGGAGAAGGUCAAGCUCUGUAAGUUUCCAUCUAAUGGCUUCUUUUGUCUUCAUUCCAGCAAAGGAGAGGACUGAGUGGCCCAGAUGGAAAGCAGAAAUGCAGACAGAGGCCUGUGGAAGAAGAAUCUUAAAAUAACUAAGCAACUCCAAGAAAACAAGUGAGGAUUUAUUGGAAACAACUGCCUUGAAAGAAGAAAAAAACACUCCAACUUGUUCAAAGUACUUUAUUUUGAUUUCACCUUUGACCCAGAACUUAUCUAGAGAAAAUUUGAGAAGAUAAUACAGAAAGCUCAUAUACUUCAAGCUAUGGGAUGAAUUGUGUUCAACAAAGAAGGAAAGAACCUUUCCUGGCUGAAGUCAGAGGCUGAGGUCAGAGGAAGACGUGACUAUAGAAGAAUGAUCAUAGGAUUGCAAUAUUGCUGGUCUUGAAGACAGAGGAAGGAUGUGGGUUACAUCUAGAAACUGGAAAAGGUGAGGACCACACGUGGAAAAGGGAGGCUGAGAAUGUAAGACAUCAGCAGAGUGUGGAUCUGAUAGCUGUGUUGGGACUAAUGGAAGAUAGAUGGUUUGAGAGGCACCCACACCCUUGGAGCCCAAAACCAUGCCAUGCACAUGUAACCAACCAGCUACAUGUGAAGAUCACAUAAAGGUGUUCUUGUCCUGGCUCUAGCUAAGGUUCCAGCUCUCAGUCAGCAUCAAUUGUGGAAGAUGGGAGUGCAUGAGCUUUUAGAUGAUUUCAGUCCCCUGCCUUUGACACCAAGUGGAACUGAGAUGAUCUUUCCACCGAGCCCUAGUCAAACUGCAGAUUCAUGAGCAAAAUAAACACCAUCAUUACUGAAGCAACAUGGCAUGUGGGGUGAUAUGUUGGGGAAGCCAUAGAUAAUCAGAGAAAGCUCCUUUUCUUUGUGAGCAAUAUUAUUUGCAUAGGAGAGAGACAAAGCUGCAUGGACUGGAAACUUCCAUGACCAAAAAAGAUGUCAUUUUCUAAGGGCUUGAGUGGGAGGUGGCCCUGACAGCAUCUGCAUGAGCCAGAGAUGCACUCACACUUUCAUUAUUGCUUGAGGGUGCCAAGAACUGUAGCAGUAAGAGCAGAAGCAGAAAUGAAGAACACGAAGGAUGCUAUGGAGUGAGAGAAAAGUCCAUGCUUGCAAGAAUCCAAAGACACCCUGUGAGGACGCCCCAAAAUACUCGAGGAAGUGUCUUCUCUAGAAAAAAAUUUCACAGGGAGGGAGCAGCUGCCAAGAUCCACACCUUCUUCCCUCCACACCAACUCACUCCAUCAUCUUCAACAACUGCCAACCUAUUCAUCCUGCUUCAGUUGGAAGAGCUAAACUUUUUGUUUAUUUUUGGAUUCAAGAUAAAAUUUUAUUCAAAAGAUG